AAGAACUGAUGCUUUCAAACUGCAGUGUUGGAGAAGAUUCUUGAGAGUCCCUUAGACAGCAAGGAGAUCAAACCAGUCCAUCUUGAAACCAAUCCUGAAUACUCAUUGGAAGACUGAUGCUGAAGCUCCAAUACUUUGGCCACCUAAUGCAAAUAGACAACUCAUUGGAAAAGACUUUGAUGCUGGGACAAAUUGAGGGCAGGAGGAGAAGGAGAUGACAAAGGAUGAGAUGGUUGGAUGGCAUCACUGAUGCAAUGGACAUGAACUUGGGCAAACUCCAGGAGAUGGUGAGGAACAGGGAAGCUGCCGUGCUAUAGUCCAUGGGGUUGCAAAGAGUCAAACAUGACUUGGCAACUGAAUAGCAACAACAAAUGCCAUGGAAUAUUAUUUAGCUAUAAAAAAUAAUGAAAUUCAGAUACAUGCUAUAGUAUGGAUGAAUCAUAAAAACAUUGUGCUAAGCAAAAGAAGCGGACAUAAAGAAACAAAUAAUCUACUUGUAUGAAGUACCUAGAAGAGAGAAAUUCACAAAGACAAAAAGUAAAAUAGGAGCUGAGGGUUGCUGGGAGUGAGAAGUUACUGUUUAAUAGGUACUUCAGAAUUUGUUUCAUUUAAUUAAUUAGUUUAUUUAUUUUUGGCUGUGCUAGGUCUUUGUUGCUUUGCAGAUUUUCUCUAGUUGAGAUGAGUGAGGGCAACUCUUCGUUAUGAUGCUCAGGCUUCUCAUUGUGGUGGCUUCUCGUUGCAGAGCACGGGCUCUAUUAUAGGUGAGAGGGCUUCAGCAGUUGGCAGCUGGUGAGCUCAGUAGUCAUGGCGCAUUGUCCUAAUUGCCCCAUGACAUGUGGAAUCUUCCCUAGCCAGGGAUUGAACCUGUGUCCCCUGCAUUGGCAGGUGGAUUCUUAACCACUGGACCACCAGGUGAUGAAAAGCGGAUACCUAACAAUAAUGUGAAAUGGAAGAGAUUGUGGAGCAAGCAAAAUGAACCACCACCAACCACACCAAAGACCAGUCUUCAUCCGAAGAAGGUGAUGCUGUGUAUGUGAUGGGAUUGGAAGGGAGGCCUCUAUUCCUUCCAGAAAACCAGAUAAUUAAUUUCA
ensembl:lncRNA